UGUUGCCACCGCAGAGAGCCAUGAAUACACUCCACCCCCAGAGAAGAUGACGCACCUCCACUUCUACUUCCACGAGAAAUACACCAGCCCGGAGGCGACCGCGGUCCUCGUCGCGGUCCCUCCCGGCACCAACGCCACCUUCGACACCUUCGGGGCGCUCAUCGUCAUCGACGACGUGCUGAGGGACGGCCCCGAGGAGAGCUCCAAGCUCAUCGGGAGGGCGCAGGGGUUGGCGGCGCAGGCCUCCCUGGAGGGCACGCAGAUACUGACGGCCGUCAACUUCGUGUUCACGGAGGGGGAGUACAACGGGAGCACGGUGGCGAUCCUUGGCCGGAUUGUCCCCACCGUAUCGCCGACCGAGCGGGCCAUCGUCGGAGGGUCGGGCAAGUUCCGGAUGGCGCGGGGGUACACGGUGGGCAACACCUACAGCUUCAGCGGAGGCUACUUCAUCUUGGAGCUCGAUGCUUAUAUCAUCCAUUACUGAGCUGCGUGCAUCGCUUCCGUCGCAUGAACGUAGCUUUUGCUUGUUUGCUUGCUUACUUUCUUGCUAUUGGAAAUAAAGUCUUGUGAUGUGUGACUGGGCAUAUCGGAUGUCGGCUUUGGAUUUAUUCCAUGGUAUGUUGAUGUAUGACUUACUAUAUUCCAUGGAUUUAUUCCAAUUAUAACGAAAUAAGUCUUUGAUCGUAAUAAGUGGUGAAGGCAAGAUUCGAGUUAAAGACCUUACGAUAAUUCACCCGACACACCACUAAAUAUCUCUUUAACUAUGAAAUACCGAUAGAAUCAUGAUAUAUCUCUUUGACUCAUCGAGAGAUAAGAACUUGAGUUCAUUUUAGUCUUUGGAAAUGGUAUCUUUCAUCAAAAUUAUGGGGUUACUUAACUUUAGCAAAUCAAUGACUUUGGUAGCCUUUAACAAAAGAAAGAAUAUUUCAUGUGACUUUUGCAUGGAAUUUCCUCUAAGGCCAAUAAAAGUUAGUUUGGCAAAAAAGAAAAGGUGACUUUAGGAUUAAUAUGAAGAUUACUUUUCAUUUAAAUAAGUAUCACAAUUUAGAAUAUAAUGUAAAAUCAUACUUUUUCAAAAUAUCGUUACCUAAUUUUGUUGGAAAAUGAAAAAAAAGUUGCAUAUAUAACAUGAAAAUAACUAUAUAUGAAAUUAUCAAAAUAUCGUUACCUAAUUAUGAAAUUAUUUUCCUCGAUCGACACAAAGGGUUUUAAUUCUAUAAAUAACAUGAAAAUAACUAUGGCAAAUAAAAAUAUUAAAUGAAGAAGCCAAGACCACUAAGGUAUGCUCGAAAACUAUUCAACUAAUCCAAGUCUUAAUAUACCUUAUCUUUGUUCAAACUUCACCUACUCAAAUACAGAUCUUAUUAUCCUAAUAUAUAAGUCAGCAUGAAGGUAAGAGUAUAUGUCGACGUGAAGACUAGGCGUUUCUUUAUGAGGUGUUCUUCAAGCAUCACGUCAACAUCAUCUUUAACCCUUUGAUUCUCCAAACCCUGUCCAUGCAAUCCAGAAGAUAGAAACCCAAGGCGGGCAGUAGUGCAGACUAAAGUCAGAUCCGCCUUUGUAUCAGAUCUCAAGCUUGGCAAUUCUGUUCAUUCAAUUAGUAUAUAUCUUGAUUCCUAAGUGUUUUAGGAGUUUUAAUUAGUUCUAAUUAUUUGGAUUAGGAUUAAGGAUUCAUAUAGGAAAAUAAAUUCUUAGUCAAUUAAGAGUAUUUUGAGAUCUCACUGUGUGUGUGAGAGAGAGAGAGAGAGAGAGAGAGAAAUGAGUUCUUAGUGAACUAAGAUUAUUACACUGAAUCUCAAGAUUUUAGUGAAAGAGAUAUAUAGGAAGAUAUUCUAAAUACUUUUGGAUUAUAUUCGAUGGGUCUAAUGAAAGGUCAAGAAAACAAAAUCUUAGGAUGUGUGUAAAAGAUUCAAAGCUUAAUAUAUAAUGAGUAUUUGUUUUUCUUAUAUAAUGAAUAAUCCGAUUUUACAUGAGAGUAUCGAAUCAUGUAAUUUUUUAUUUUUUAUUUAUAUAUUUAUAUAUAUUUUUAAAGAAUAAUUAUUAUUGUGGAAAGUACACAGACACUGUACAGUUCAUCUCAGCUCAACUCGUUUAAUCUUUUCUAGUGACGGUGACAUCAAGGAAAUUGAUGUAAGAUGCCAAUUAGAAUGUCCAUUUUUUUUGACACAUACCUCCAAUUUUUGUACAUGGUUUUGACCGAGUGACCUAUUAAGAUUUUGACUAUCCAAGUUUGAGACCGAUUUAACUUCAACUUUAUACUCUUUUUUUUUUUGGUCUAAAAGCGAAAUCCUCAUAAUCAAAUAUUAUAAUUUUAUAAAAUUAUAUCGAGCGUAUUUUCUGCGAUACCCCUCAAAUGUCUAAACUAGUAAUCUAGAUUGUUUUAAUCUCUAGACAUAUCUAUGCUUCGCGACUAUCAUGAUCAUCUAUUACUACAGUAAUUGAGGUGUAAGAAUAGAUUAUAUUCGUCAUCCAUUACACUAUUUUUUGUGUAGUAAUCGAAAAAGUGAGGGCACACGUGUCAUGGUAAAAAAAUGAUGUGGCUAACUUAUCAGCUGCUUGUCAUCACAUCAUUUUUACCAGAAGUUGGUGUAAACCAGCAAUACAAUGCAACCCAUCAAAAUGCUCUUUAACAUGCUUAUACAUCCUCCAUCCACUUCUUGGCUGCUUGCAAAGGCAAAGCUUCUCCAUGGCCUACUCCUACUCUCCCUUGGUGCUUCUUCUUCUUCUCCUCCUCCUUCCCUUCUCCGUCUCCGCCGCUGUUGCCACCGUGACCGGCCAUGAAAACACUGCACCCAGAGAGAAGUUGACCCACCUGCACUUCUUCUUCCACGGGAGAUUCGCCAGCCCGAACGCGACCGCAGUCCUCGUCGCAGUCCCUCCCGGCACGAACGCCACCUUCAACACCUUCGGGGCGGUCAUCGUGCUGGACGACAUGCUGAAGGACGGCCCCGAGGCGAGCUCGAAGCUCAUCGGGCGGGCGCAGGGGCUGACGGCGCAGGCCUCCCUGGAGGGCACGUAUCUGUUGAUGGUCGUCAACUUCGUGUUCACGGCGGGGGAGUACAACGGGAGCUCGCUGGCGAUCCUGGGCCGGUUCGUCCCCGACGUCUCGGGCACCGAGCGGAGCAUCGUCGGAGGGACGGGCAAGUUCCGGAUGGCACGGGGGUACACGGUGGGCAACGUCUACAUCUGGACCGCCAGCUACUUCGUGUUGGAGCUCGAUGCUUACAUCGUCCAUUACUGAGCUGCGUGCCGUUUGCCUGCUGUUUGCUUUCUUGCAUUUGGUUUGAUUCCCAGUUUGGUGAUGUAUGACUUGCUUCGUUACAGCACGCAAUAAUAAAGAUUGGCAAUACUAUUGGUUUCAUGAAGAAUUCAAGCUUCAUUAUAAAUAUCAUUCUUCUCGAUCGGAACCCUUUUAAGUCUUUAUAUCCUUUAUCUUUGUUCAAACCUCACCUACCCAAAGCCACAUCAUAUCAUCCUAAUAUAUGUCAGCAUGAAUCUUGCACUAUAUAUCGACGUGAAGACUAGGCGUUUCUUUAUGACGAACUUCACCUCUAACCAUUUGACGAAACUCUCUCUCUCUCUCUCUCUCUCUCUCUCUCUCUCUCUCCGUGUGUAGUGUACAAUAAAGUCGGCCUUCUAUAUAGGUUGGCAUUCAUGCGCGGAACAAAGUCGGUCAUCUAUAAGGGUUGGCAUUCAUGUUCAUUCAAUUAACAUAAUUAAUGUGUGUUGGGAGGAAGAGAAAAAAAUUAAAACGUAACUAUAAGACCUCGAAGAUUAAUAAAUAAAUAAUAUAUCAAAGUCAACAUAAGAUUUUGAUAAUUUUUAUUUAUAUUUGUAUAAAAAUUAAAAUUCUUAUCAUGUAAGAUUAAGAUCCUUUAGCUACGCUUACUCAAGUAUAAUAUCAUUGUAUUUCUAUGUCUUUCAUAGAUCCGAAAAUUAUAUAUUUUUUUUUUCUCAUCUUAGAAAAUACGCUCUCUGGAUAUCAUACAAAUAAACCCAAGAACACCUAAAGUAUUUCUAUAUCUUUCUCAAAACCUAUAAAUACAUAGAAUUAACAUAUUAAUAGAAGAAUUAAACUCUAAGGGUUUUUUUUCCUUUGCUAUGACUACUUAUAGUAUUAGGAAUUAUUGUCCUCCUGACACUAGCUCCGAAAACCUAAAAAUAUUUGUUAAUCCUAACAAUCUAUUCUUGGUGGAUAUUUUAGCUAUUUUUGUAUCUUUUUGAAGAAAAUAUUUUUGCUUUAUACUUCUUGUAAUCUUUGUCGAAGAGGAAAACUCAAAAACCAAAACAAUAUCGGGAGAUUAACAAUAAAAAAUAUAUCAGAAAGUCAACACAAGAUUUAAUAUGGUUCAAUAAUUUAUUGCCUAUAUUCGUAAAAAAAAUCAAGUUUUUCAUAAUGUGAUAUCAAUUUCAAGACUCUUGAGUUAUUCUCAAUCUAGCAUAAUCCUCUUAUAUACCAUAUCAAAUAAACACCAAAGACUUUAUAGAAAAAUUAUGAUAUAUAAGAUAUUUAUAAAAAAAUAAACCUUAAUUAUUAUGAUUCUUUUCUUUCACAAUGAUUUCUUCUCGUGCUAAGAUUUUUUAUUCUCGUAUGGCACUGACUCCAGAAAUCCUACUAUGCUUAUCAAUUUUAAUAAUAUAAAGAAGAAACAAUUAAGAUAUAUAAGUAUUUCAGAACUAAUUAGAUUUAAAAUAUUUUAAUGAUUAUGAUUAUUAUUAUUAAGGAUUACAUGAAGAAGAGAUUAAGAGGUUCCAAUAUUUAAAACUUGAGUUUUGAUUGAUUCAAGAGAGAUAUUGAUUAAAUUUAUUUUUAUAUAAUAAAAAUUUUAGUUUUCUCACAUAGAAAAACUACUAAACCACAUCAAUCUUCUAUCAUUUUUUGGUUAGUGUUUUUCAAAUUUUUUCUUAGUAUUGAAAUUUUCUCUUCCCUUCCGAACACACAAACCACGAAGCAAACACACAAACACGUAAUAAUUGGGCUCCACGACAAGCAAGAGGUCUCUCCUUGAGCCAUUAGAGUGUUGCAAUUGCCUAUAUUUAUUAUAUGAUCUCGACUUUUUGACCUAUCUAUUGAAUAAUAAUUAAGGAAUAAAAAAAUGUCGAUGUGGAAAAUAAGUAGCACGGAAGAGAUUUUGGGACCCAUUUGAAAUCGUCAAUAUCCACCGCCUGUUUACUUUUCUUCUCUCUCUCUCUCUNNNNNNNNNNNNNNNNNNNNGCCUCGUUACUUUCUUCUCUCUCUCUCUCUCUCUCUCUCUCUCUCUCUCUACACGCAUUAUAAUUGAUGAUUUAAUUAUAUAUUUAUUUAAUUUUUUUAAUAUGGAUGUAUGGAUCCUUAAAAUUCAUUAUUUUUUAGAUUUUAUUUUAUUUUAUUUGACGAUUAUAGAGAUGUAUGGAUAGGUUUGAUCGACUUUCGGACUCAACGAUUUCCAUUGAACUAUCGAAUUUGGAAUCAAUUUUAAACCAAUUUAUUUCGAUCUAUUUUAAUUUUUAAUUUUUAACUUUUUUUUUCGAAUUUGGAUCCAAUUUAUUGACAAUUAUAGAGAUGUAUGGAUAGGUUUGAUGCAAUCAACAAUUUUGAUUGAACUAUGGAAUUUGGAAUCAAUUUCAAACCAAUUUAUUUCAAUCUAUGUUCGAAUCUCGAUCUAUUUUUUUUCUUCUAAUUUUAAAUUUAUUUCGAAUUUGGAAUCAACAGUUCGAUUUAUUUCGAUCUAUUUUUAUUUGAAAAUUAACCUCAAUGAUAUAAAUAUAACUUAGUAAUCAGCAAUUUUAGAGGGAUGGAUUUGUAAUUUUGCUUCAUCUUCUCUCUUUAAGCUGCUUAUAAAUCCACAGCGUCGCCACCUUGUCCUCCAACCACUACUUGGCUGCCUGCAACACAAGCUUCUCCAUGGCCUACUCCUCUUCCUUCAUGCUGCCCCUUCUUCUUCUUCUUUCCCUCUCCCUCUAUGCGACGAUUGCCACUGCAACCGGCCACGAACACGCUGCAACUAAAGAGAAGAUGACGCACCUGCACUUCUACUUCCACGAGAUGUACUCCGGCCCGAACGCGACCGGACUCGUCGUCGCAGUCCCACCGGGCAAGAACUCCUCCAUCGACACCUUCGGGGCGCUCAUCGUGAUCGACGACAUGCUCAGGGAAGGUCCAGAGCGGAGCUCCAAGCUGAUCGGGAGGGCACAGGGGCUCUCCGCCCAGGCCUCCCUGGAUGGCACGGCGCUGCUGACGGCCAUAAACUUCGUUUUCACGGAGGGGGAGUACAACGGGAGCACGGUGGCGAUCCUGGGCAGGGCCGUCCCCAGCGCUCCGGCGAUCGAGCGGAC
rnacentral:lncRNA from 1 species